rnacentral:lncRNA from 1 species
AGUAGACAUUGUGUGAGCCCGUGGACGGAGGCUGAGGAUGAUUAUGAGAUUCCUGGUACAAAGAUGCUCCCAGCUCAAUGCAGGUGACCCCAUGGCGAGAGCAGUGAGGGUCUGUGGAGGUUAGCUGAGCUACCUCAUCCAGAGGAGGAGCAGGUUGGGGGUGGUACCCGUUCCUGGUGAUGUUAGUUACCUAUUGCUGUGUAACAAAUUGCACAUUUAAAUGGAGACCCAUUAAAACGGAAUACCUUUUAAACCUGAUUGUGCGUGGUGGUGGUAGCAGUAAACUGAAGCAGGCACCGCCACACAGAAGCUGUCUGAGCUUGGCAAUCCCACAUUCUGGCUUCAAGCCAUGCGGUGCGACUGGUGCCAGGAGGGGGUGCAGGGAGAAGGAAAAGGCUGGACAGCUGGUAAAGGCCCGCCACCCCAGGUGGGAUGGGAAUGACAGGACAGAUUUUUAAGUAGGAGCGGGUGAGUGAGACAUGGGGAACUCCAUCCUGGAAGGGGUGCUUGGGGCUAGGAGGGAACAGGAAACAGGUGUCAUGGGUAAGGCCUGUGACCUGACCAGGACUUUUGAAUCUAAAAAUAUAUGUGUCAGGGGGUGUGAUUAUUAAAAUGUAGGAAUAUUACCCAAAAAUGAUGUUGACAUCAACGCUAAUUUUGGAUGCUGGAAAAUUAACCUAAUUAGCUCUUGCCUUUCCCUCCACACACUUUCCCUCGGCGGUUUCCUUGGUCCUGUGCCAUCACCUGCUUCUUUGGCAUGGCUGACUCCUAGAUCUGUAUUUCCAGCCUUGCCAUUUUCCUGCCACAUCUCCAACCUCCUGCUUGACAGCUCAGCCUGGUGGACUUCUCAGCACCUCAAACUUAGUAUGUACAAUACAGAACUUAUUUUCCUCCAAAACCUGCCAUCUUCCUUGCUGUCUCUUCUGGUCAAAGCGCCACCAGGCAUCCAGCCUGGGGCCCGAGGAGGGGAAGCCCAUGUGUCACAGAGAUAUGGCGUGCUCUGUGGGGAGGAACUUCAUGUGUGAGCAGAAGCAGGCAGCUGGCGACAAGCUGAAGAAAGGCGUUCAUCCCACACACAUGUGGGAAGCACCUCGGGUGCUCCAGGAGCUGCGUUUCUGGGCAUGGGGGCUCACUGGUGAAUAAGCCAGACGAGGUUCUCUGCCCCCCGGAGCUUUACUCAACAGGCCCCCAGGGUCGGCCCAGGAACAGCAAGCGGACCCUCUUACCAGAGCAUCAGGUAAAGCCUGUCCCUGUUUUGUCCUGCUGUGAGCUAACGAGUGUGCUGCUGUCAGCGUGGGGUCUGGAGCGUCAGACAGGGGGGUGACAUCACGGGGAACGGCAAGAAGCAACAAGCCCCAAAGGAGAUGACUAAGCAAGUAUGGCGGGCUGAGUAACGGCCCCCGAAAGGUGUCCACGUCUUCAUCCCCAGAACUUGUGAAUAUGUUACCUUACAUGGCAAAGGAACUUUCUAGAUGUAAUUAAGGAUCUUAAAAUGGUGAGAUUACACUAGAUUAUCCGGACGGGCCCAAUGUCAUCACAAGGACCCUGUGAAAGGGAGGCAAGUGUAAAGACAGGAGGAGGGGAAGGAUGAUGGAAGCAGAGGUUGGAGUGAUGCAGUUUGAGAUGGAAGAAGGGGCCAUGAGCCAAGGAACACAGGCAGCUUCUGGAAACUGGAAAACUCAAGGGAACAGAUUCUGCCCUGGAGCCUUCCCAAGGAAGGCAGGCCUGCGGACACCUUGAUUUUACCCCAUAAGGUUCGUUUUGGACUUCUGAUCUCCAGAGCUAUGAGACGAUAAAUUGGUGUCGUUUGACCCACUGUGCUUGUGUGACAACAGCAAUGGGAAACGAACCUAGCAGGCAGGCGGCUGGCUUGCCCCAGCUCCGGAGGUGUUGCAGGAGGACUCUUGACGACACAGCAAACACAGGAGCACCCACGGAGCAGAUUCCCUCGCCCUGAGUCCCGGGGAGAUGUGACGGGCCACAGUGACUCGUGCUGCAGUUAAGGAACCCAGGCUGGCGCUCAGCAGCUUUUGCAUCAAGCAAUAGCAGCCCCACCCUCAUGCGGGAGGGAGUGGAUGGACAGUAGUCCUGCUGCAUCACUGGACCUGCUUGGCUGUCUACGGGACCAGCUACAGCUGCAGCAGCAGCUCAGGCUCCGCUGGGCACGGACGUGCACAGACGCAGGGCCGGCUGGAUGGCCGCGGAGCUCACCUAGCCAACCCUCGGGCCCCCAGCCAGCUGCAGCGUCAGUGGGCGGCGGGGCCCAGGAGACGCACGUGUUCGGGCCAAGCCAGUGCCGUUUUGUCCUCCGGGCAGCUCCCUGCAGCUGCCGGGCUCCAUGAGUUCUUCCCGGAGGUCAAGAGCUGGGACUGCACAAGGGCUGGGAGAGUUCCCACAUGGUCUGCACAAAUGCCGCAGCGUCCAGGCUGGCCUCAAGGGCGCCUCUGUGCAGGCAGCUGGCUGGUUGACUCGAGGGCCAUGAGAGACCAGAGGCUGGGGGAACGACCAGCAGCCUCCAAGGAGGGCCCGAGGCUCUGCCUCCUCCUGCCGGGGCAGGUGUGUGGAGUGAGACAGUGGGAAGAACUGCCUCUCAGAUACUCCCCUGACUGCAGGGUUUGCGUUUCCGCCUCAGAGCAAGCUCCUGGGGCCUGGGCACGAGGAACUGAUGCCGACCCCGGGUCUGGGAGUUCAGAGGCCGGACAGUCAAGGAGUUAAGAGUGUGCAUGUAAGUGUGCGUGCGUGCACACAUACACACACACGUUUUUUUCCCUCUUAUCAU